rnacentral:rRNA from 1 species
GUCCACGCCCUAAACGAUGAUGACUAGUUGUUGGAGGAGUUAAAUCCUUUAGUAACGCAGCUAACGCGAGAAGUCAUCCGCCUGGGGAGUACGGUCGCAAGAUUAAAACUCAAAGGAAUUGACGGGGGCCCGCACAAGCGGUGGAUGAUGUGGUUUAAUUCGACGCAACGCGAAAACCUUACCUACCCUUGACAUGUACGGAACCUCAUAGAGAUGUGAGGGUGCCCGAAAGGGAGCCGUAACACAGGUGCUGCAUGGCUGUCGU